rnacentral:rRNA from 1 species
AACGAACGCUGGCGGCGGGCCUAACACAUGCAAGUCGAACGAGAAGCCACCUUCGGGUGGUGGACAGUGGCAGACGGGUGAGUAACGCGUGGGAACGUGCCUUUCGGUUCGGGAUAACCCAGGGAAACUUGGGCUAAUACCGGAUACGCCCUCCGGGGGAAAGAUUCAUCGCCGAAAGAUCGGCCCGCGUCGGAUUAGCUAGUUGGUAGGGUAAUGGCCUACCAAGGCGACGAUCCGUAGCUGGUCUGAGAGGAUGACCAGCCACACUGGGACUGGGACACGGCCCAGACUCCUACGGGAGGCAGCAGUGGGGAAUAUUGGACAAUGGGCGAAAGCCUGAUCCAGCCAUGCCGCGUGGGUGAAGAAGGCCUUAGGGUUGUAAACCCCUUUCAGCGGGGAAGAUAAUGACGGUACCCGCAGAAGAAGUCCCGGCUAACUCCGUGCCAGCCGCCGCCGUAA